AAAUUGAAGAGUUUGAUCAUGGCUCAGAUUGAACGCUGGCGGCAGGCCUAACACAUGCAAGUCGAGCGGAAACGAGUUAUCUGAACCUUCGGGGAACGAUAGCGGCGUCGAGCGGCGGACGGGUGAGUAAUGCCUAGGAAAUUGCCCUGAUGUGGGGGAUAACCAUUGGAAACGAUGGCUAAUACCGCAUGAUGCCUACGGGCCAAAGAGGGGGACCUUCGGGCCUCUCGCGUCAGGAUAUGCCUAGGUGGGAUUAGCUAGUUGGUGAGGUAAGGGCUCACCAAGGCGACGAUCCCUAGCUGGUCUGAGAGGAUGAUCAGCCACACUGGAACUGAGACACGGUCCAGACUCCUACGGGAGGCAGCAGUGGGGAAUAUUGCACAAUGGGCGCAAGCCUGAUGCAGCCAUGCCGCGUGUGUGAAGAAGGCCUUCGGGUUGUAAAGCACUUUCAGUCGUGAGGAAGGCGGCGUCGUUAAU
rnacentral:rRNA from 1 species